GAAUGGAGGGGAGCUCAGAUAGGGCUCUGGUCUCCCAAUGCGGCUCUGGCCUCCCUGGCCCCCCAGAUGGGCCUAACUGAGGGGGGUCCUGUUGUCUGUACCUGCAAGACCUGUCUUGGACUGUGUUCCUGUCAUCUAAAUAAACCUUCUGUUUUACUGGCUGGCUGAGAGUCAUGGUGAAUUGCAGGAAGCCGGGGGUGCAGGGCCUUGACUUCCCCCCACUCCGUGACACCAUGACACUGGGAUUUUUAUAGCAGUAUCCAUUCAGAGGGAGAUCUACAUAAAGAUACUAUGUACAGAUGCAAAAAUGGAUAACCCUUUCCUAAUAAUUACUGAGAUGCUACAGCAAGGAGCACCCAUCUGCUGAAGGCACCAUCAGAUGAUGACUGGAUGUUCAGCUUGUAGAAUUUUGAAGGUGAGGGAAAGCAGAUGGAGCUCUUUGCACCCUGUCAAGGAGAUCAGAUAAUCCAGGCCCCCUUGGCCAGAACGGGGAUACAAGAAUUACGAGUGCUGCUUCUCUCCUGACCUUCUCCAGCAUUCUGAUAAGUCACACUUGUUCCUGAAGAGUCACCUGCUUCCAGUGGGAUGAAAGGAAAUAUUUUAAGGGGACCAGUGUCAUCUUUGCCUGAAUCUUACCUACUGUCACUCACUAAGUACUGAGAGUGUUGUACACACUUUACCAGCCUGCACUUGGGAACUCUCAUGUCCUUCCU